rnacentral:lncRNA from 9 species
UACCAGGGAAGAAGGCUGGAGAAAGGAUGGAGCGCGAUCCUGCGCGUGAGCCACGGCCGCGGACAGAGGCGGAGUGGAGUGGGAUGUGGCUCCAGGGUUAUCCCCAUAGGAAUGGGACCUAAGGAAUCUGACGCCCCUGGUGCCUUGGCAAAGGAAAAGGGCGCGCGGACACGCGUUCGAGGCGGGGCCGGAGAGGAUCUCCUGGGCACUGCUCGCUCCCUGGCCAGCUAGCUUGCCCACAGUUGCUUCCUCAGUUCUUCGCUCGCGCGCUCAUCCCCUCCCACGCCAGGGAGUAGUUUUGGGUGGCGUGGGCUCCGUCCUUUUCUUGGCUGGUUGGAACCGUGUGCCAAGAGAGGAAGUCUGGUGGGCCCGGCCCCUCCCAGCCCAGCGCCGAUGAGUGCCAGGGCGCCCAAGGAGCUGAGGCUGGCGCUGCCGCCGUGUCUCCUCAACCGGACCUUUGCUUCCCCUAACGCCAGCGGCAGCGGCAACGCGAGUGCCCGGGGACCGGGCGCCGCCGGGGGCGGUGGCGGCACCUGCAUUUCGCAGGUGGGACAGCAGCUCUUCCAGUCCUUCUCCUCCACGCUGGUGCUGAUUGUCCUGGUCACCCUCAUCUUCUGCCUCAUUGUGCUGUCCCUCUCCACCUUCCACAUCCACAAGCGUAGGAUGAAAAAGCGGAAGAUGCAGAGGGCUCAGGAGGAAUAUGAGCGGGAUCACUGCAGCGGCAACCGCGGCGGCAGGGGGCUGCCCCAACCAGCUGGCGGCCAGGCCCCAAUCCACGCAAAAGAAACCCGACUGGAAAGGCAGGCCCGGGACUCUGCCUUCUGCGCCCCCUCCGACGCUUCCUCCUCUUCUUCCCCUGGCCUCCCGUGCCAGGGUGCCUGUGCUCCUCCGCCUCCUCCACCGGCCCCCAGCCCGCAAGGAGCACACACAGCCUCCUCCUGUUUGGACACAGCUGGCGAGGGCCUUUUGCAAACGGUGAUACUGUCCUGAUUGUCUGGCCCCUCUACUCUUCCCUUCCUCGUUUCCAGCAUCUUUGCCUUCCUUGCUUUUUUUCCCCCCCUCCGGCCUUCCUCUUCCACUUUCCUGUGGCCUCCCUCUCCUCUUCUUUCCUUAUUCGUCUUCCCCUACUCCGUUUCUCCUCCGCCGAGGCACUGUGCGGUAUUUGUAAAUAAAUAUUGGGCGAGGAAAGUCUCGGAAGAAGAAAUAACGCUGAUAAUACUACUUUAUUAUUAAUAUUUAUAGUAAUUAUUAUAAUACUAAUAACACGAUCCAAGCGCAUGACAAAUCACAUAAUUUUUCAUUGUUCAUGGUACGUCUUCCCUCUUCACCCUGCGCCCCCCACAAUAAGGAGGAGAAACCGGACAAGCUACCAGAUACGUAAAAGGCAUUGACCCCCAGAGCGAAGGGAGUGGAGGGGGCCCGGUGUGUUGUACAUAGCUGUCAAGUUAAGGUUCAGUUGCCUUUCUUCCCUUCCACCCCCAUAGCUUUCACUUUUCCUUCAGCUUCCCUCCUUCCCCAUUCUUACCUUCAGCUGGGCUCAGGCAAUAGUAUAUUAUAAAGGAAACGUAUACGUUAAGCACCAGGACUACAAGAGGCCACAGAGACAGUCCCAGAAAAAUGUUUAUGGCAGGUACCGCUCUCCACUCAGCCCUCUUCGUACCUUUAGUUAACCAUUCUCUUUUCCAGAGCCAGGCAUUUCAAUUUACCUUUGGAAACGUCCCUCGCUGGCCGAGCAUAUAAGUACAUUAAAAACCUUUAAAUGAGUUGAAAGAAAGAAAAAGAAAGAAAGAAAGAAAGAAAGAAAGAAAGAAGAGAGAAAAAGAAUUUACUGCUUUCUGUUGUUCCCUGCCCUGCCCCCACCUGUACACCUUUGAUUGAGGCACUUUCAGGAUUCGCAAAGGAUCCAUGGAGCUGUCCAGCCAGGUCUGGUGUUGAAAUUGCCUCACAGAACUGGUUACCUUUUUUUGGUUUGUGCAGGCGGAGGAAGGGCUGUUUUGGAAAGUGAUUAUCCUAGCUUUCUGGUGGUUUCUUUCCUCUUUUUCUACAAUCGGGUUUGUGUGUACUAUUAUUUUACUUCUUAUUAAACAUUGCAUAAGUUACCUUUUUUUGUAAAAAAAAAAAAAAAAGUAUUAGGUGAUGUGCAGUGCUGAAAAUGCAGUAUCUAACCAACCAGAAUGUUUCUGUUAAAAUUUUAGAACAAGUGCACCUUUGUUAUAUAUUUAUUAUAUUGGUACCAAAUACAGAAGCAAACUAUAGUUCUGUACUAUGUCCUCCAAACUGUAUAUUCUUGUUCUUAAUUUCCAGCUGUUGAUAUAAUGGUAACCACUGGAUGAGGAAUUCAGUGGUGCAGGCCCGGCUAUUUCCAGAAGUGUUCUUUUGUACCUUACUCUGUAGUAGACUGUUAUAAAAAGAUGAUACAUAUGUUUUCUUAUUUCUUUUGUGGAUAACAGAAACAACCACAACAGAAAACAAGCAAAUAAUGGAUGUGCAGGAAUGCCAUCUAUUAAAACAUGGAUAAUAUUUAAA